UACGUAGGGGGCAAGCGUUGUCCGGAAUCAUUGGGCGUAAAGAGCGUGUAGGCGGCCAGAUAAGUCCGCUGUGAAAUCUCGAGGCUCAACUUCGAGCUGUCGGUGGAAACUGUCUGGCUAGAGUCCGGAAGAGGAGAAUGGAAUUCCUGGUGUAGCGGUGAAAUGCGCAGAUAUCAGGAGGAACACCGGUGGCGAAGGCGGCACUCUGGGCCGGUACUGACGCUGAGGAGCGAAAGCGUGGGGAGCGAACAGG
rnacentral:rRNA from 1 species